rnacentral:lncRNA from 1 species
AGUGCCUACCGUGUUAAUGUGCCGGGUCGGAAAUUGAAGUGACCUGCCGGGUUACCUCAUGUUCCAUGGAGCUCCAGCUAUCAGAACCAUAUCUCAGGCAUCAGGAGAAAGAAAAGGUGAUGGAGAAAAGGGAUGCUCCUUCAAUGAGUAGACUGAAGAUUAUGAAAAAGGCAGAGCUAAGACAGAGAAGAGAACCAGUAUGCACUGAACACCAUUACAAACAUCUCAUUUAAUUUUGACACCUUGUAUGGUGAGUGUUCUUGUUCUUACUUUCCAGGUGAGAAAUUUAGUCAAAGAUAAUAGAUUCUCAGUUCA